rnacentral:rRNA from 1 species
UAGAGUUUGAUCCUGGCUCAGGACGAACGCUGGCGGCGUGCUUAACACAUGCAAGUGGUGCGACGAACCAGGGCUUGCCCUGGGGCCAAGCCGCGAACGGGUGAGUAACACGUGAGUAACCUGCCCCGAUGACCGGGACAACCCGAGGAAACUCGGGCUAAUACCGGAUGUGGUGCACAGAUUUAAGUUUGUGUACUAAAGGAAGCUUCGGCCUCCGCAUUGGGAGGGGCUCGCGGCCCAUUAGCUUGUUGGUGGGGUAACGGCCUACCAAGGCAACGAUGGGUAGCUGGUCUGAGAGGACGAUCAGCCACACUGGGACUGAGACACGGCCCAGACUCCUACGGGAGGCAGCAGUGGGGAAUCUUGCGCAAUGCGCGAAAGCGUGACGCAACAACGCCGCGUGGGGGAAGACGGCCUUCGGGUUGUAAAC